rnacentral:rRNA from 1 species
AUUGAACGCUGGCGGCAGGCCUAACACAUGCAAGUCGAGCGGAUGAAGGGAGCUUGCUCCUGGAUUCAGCGGCGGACGGGUGAGUAAUGCCUAGGAAUCUGCCUGGUAGUGGGGGAUAACGUCCGGAAACGGGCGCUAAUACCGCAUACGUCCUGAGGGAGAAAGUGGGGGAUCUUCGGACCUCACGCUAUCAGAUGAGCCUAGGUCGGAUUAGCUAGUUGGUGGGGUAAAGGCCUACCAAGGCGACGAUCCGUAACUGGUCUGAGAGGAUGAUCAGUCACACUGGAACUGAGACACGGUCCAGACUCCUACGGGAGGCAGCAGUGGGGAAUAUUGGACAAUGGGCGAAAGCCUGAUCCAGCCAUGCCGCGUGUGUGAAGAAGGUCUUCGGAUUGUAAAGCACUUUAAGUUGGGAAGAAGGGUAGUAAGUUAAUACCUUGCUGUUUUGACGUUACCAACAGAAUAAGCACCGGCUAACUUCGUG